GCCUUUGUCAGCGCCCAGAACACAGGUGUGGUGGAAGUGGAGGAGGGUGAGGUGAACGGGCAGGAGCUGUGCAUCGCAUCCCACUCCAUCGCCAGGAUCUCCUUCGCCAAGGAGCCCCACGUAGAGCAGGCUGGAAUACAGUAGCACGAUCUUGGCUCAUUGCAACCUCCACCUCCCAGGCUUAAGCGAUCCUCCCACCUCGCCCUCCCGAGUAGCUGGGGCCACAGGGCCCCGUGCAGUCUGUGCAGCACGUGCCUUGCAGCAGCCGUGAGACGAGGCAGGUCCAGGCCCAGGCCCCAUUUUACAGUGAGGCUCAGAGAGGCCCCCAGCCUGGCAGAGCCUCCUUGCUUCCUGCCUUGUGUGGGUGGCUCUUGACCUAGCUUUGCAGCCUGGGCUGCCGCCGGUGACCUGUGAGCUUGAGCAUCUUUUCACAUCGUUGCUGGGUCAUCCUCCAGCGAGGUGCCUGUUCAGGUCUGGUGACCAUUUCCACUGUGCCUUUUCUGGCUGACAUGUCAGAGUUCUUUAUAUAAUUUGAAUAAAGCUCUUUGUUAGCUAAAUGUGUUGCAAAUA
rnacentral:sRNA from 1 species